rnacentral:rRNA from 1 species
AUACGAGGGGUGCAAGCGUUAAUCGGAAUUACUGGGCGUAAAGCGUUCGUAGGCGGUUUGUUAAGCAAGAUGUGAAAGCCCUGGGCUCAACCUGGGAACUGCAUUUUGAACUGGCAAGCUAGAAUACUGUAGAGGGUGGUGGAAUUUCCAGUGAAGCGGUGAAAUGCGUAGAGAUUGGAAGGAACAUCAGUGGCGAAGGCGGCCACCUGGACAGAUAUUGACGCUGAGGAACGAAAGCGUGGGGAGCGAACAGGAUUAGAAACCCCUGUAGUCC